rnacentral:rRNA from 1 species
UAGGGAAUCUUCCACAAUGGACGAAAGUCUGAUGGAGCAAUGCCGCGUGAGUGAAGAAGGUUUUCGGAUCGUAAAACUCUGUUGUUGAAGAAGAACAUAUGUGAGAGUAACUGUUCACGUACUGACGGUAUUCAACCAGAAAGCCACGGCUAACUACGUGCCAGCAGCCGCGGUAAUACGUAGGUGGCAAGCGUUGUCCGGAUUUAUUGGGCGUAAAGAGAAUGUAGGCGGUUUAUUAAGUUUGAAGUGAAAGCCCUCGGCUCAACCGAGGAAGUGCUUCGAAAACUGGUAAACUUGAGUGCAGAAGAGGAAAGUGGAACUCCAUGUGUAGCGGUGGAAUGCGUAGAUAUAUGGAAGAACACCAGUGGCGAAGGCGGCUUUCUGGUCUGUAACUGACGCUGAGAUUCGAAAGCAUGGGUAGCAAACAGG